rnacentral:rRNA from 1 species
GUUAUCUCCGGCCAAGCAGCGGGGGUGAGACUGGGGGUUGAAGGUUUAAUCGGAAUUGAUGGGCGUAAAGCGAGCGUAGUUGGUUUUGUAAGUUGGAUGUGAAAGCCCCGUGCUCAACCUGGGAACUGCAUCCAAAACUGGCAAGGUAGAGUACGGUAGAGGGUGGUGGAAUUUCCUGUGUAGCGGUGAAAUGCGUAGAUAUAGGAAGGAACACCAGUGGCGAAGGCGACCACCUGGACUGAUACUGACACUGAGGUGCGAAAGCGUGGGGAGCAAACAGGAUUAGAUACCCCUGUAGUC